UACGGAGGGUGCAAGCGUUAAUCGGAAUUACUGGGCGUAAAGGGUGCGUAGGUGGUUGAUUAAGUUAUCUGUGAAAUCCCUGGGCUUAACCUGGGCAGGUCAGAUGAUACUGAUUGACUCGAGUAUGGGAGAGGGUAGUGGAAUUUCCGGUGUAGCGGUGAAAUGCGUAGAUAUCGGAAGGAACACCAGUGGCGAAGGCGGCUACCUGGCCUAAUACUGACACUGAGGCACGAAAGCGUGGGGAGCAAACAGG
rnacentral:rRNA from 1 species